UACGACGGGGGCUAGCGUUGCUCGGAUUGACUGGGCGUAAAGGGCGCGUAGGCGGUUUGCACAGUCAGACGUGAAAUUCCUGGGCUCAACCUGGGGGCUGCGUUUGAUACGUGCGGGCUUGAGUUCGGAAGAGGGUCGUGGAAUUCCCAGUGUAGAGGUGAAAUUCGUAGAUAUUGGGAAGAACACCGGUGGCGAAGGCGGCGACCUGGUCCGAUACUGACGCUGAGGCGCGAAAGCGUGGGGAGCAAACAGG
rnacentral:rRNA from 1 species